GACUCGAGCGAGCAGAAAUCAGCUGAGCGAGCAGAAAUCCACCGCGCGAGCAAAACAGCACUCCGCGAGCAGAAGCCCGCUGCGCGCGAGCAGGAUUCCACUGCACAAGCAGAGUUAACCUAUGCGAGUAUGCCAGGCGCUCGCUCGCAGCUACAUGUACACCUCUCGGCUGUUGAAUUUGUGCGCGAGUACUUUUAUCAUGCCAGCUGAAGGUUCAUUUUUGCGCGUGUGAAAUAACAUAAUGUGCUCGUGAGCAUGUCUUACACGCUCAUAACUUUUGAAUAAAAUGUAACGCCAUAGUUUUCUUACAACCCAUUUCGCUUAUCGCUUAUUCAUAGUUCAUCAUCUCUAUGAAAUCACGUUCAAGAAGUCUCAUUCAGCACACAUCGCGAUACUUGCCAUCAGUUUCCACGUGCCACAGGGUCGAUGUAAAGGAAGCAGUCAUCCCUGUGGUGUUUGUGGAGAGGUUUUCCUUCAGAAAUGGAGAAGACUGAAAGCUGCGGAGGCAGACAUUUGCAGCAGAUUGUUUGCAGAUAAUGCUGUUCAAGCUCAACAGCUCUUUUAAGAGCCAACCCUCACAAACCUUCCUAAAAACUAAAAGAGCUGUUACUGAGUCUCAGCGAAUUUUGCCAUGAUCAGCUCUUCCCAGAAGAGAAGGAAGACCAAGGAAAUGAUUUGCUCAUGAGGAAUGAAGACGGCCAUCUUAAGCCCAAACAAAGACAGAAGUCCUCUGAUGAUCUCAUCAGCCAAAUGGGGGGUUUUGACCAAGUGAUGCUCUUGAAAGGACUGAAAGAAGAGGAUGUGGUAAAUUGUCUUCAGAGAAAAACCUUCUCAAAAGGUCUUAAAACAGCUUGAAGAAUGGUCUGGGAUCUUAGGACUGAGAGAUCCUCUGGCUGAGAAAAGGCUACACCACACCAGUGCUGGAUAUCAACCACAAACUGUUUCCAGACACGAGAGAAGAAGAACACGAUGGGGAGAUGAAACCAGUUUAGAUGUGAUGAUGGGAAUCAUUAUUUUCUGGAACAGUAUCACAUGUCUUAAAUGUAUCACAUGAUCUGUAUCACAGUUGACUGGAUGGAUUAUUUUUACUUUUAAGGACAUUUCAUCACUCAUCUGUGUGAACUGAUUAAUUUAUGAUAUUAAUGAAUUUUUGAUCCUUUAUUAUUUUCCUUGAACUGUGUUUGUCUUGAAGCUACUUUAUCAACUUCAUAGUCUAUGCUUCAAUAAAAUUAAUAUGGUGAA